CCCAGUAGUGGCGAAUGAAGCGGGAAAAGCUCAAGUUUGAAAUCUGGCGGGCGACCGUCCAGAGUUGUAAGCUGGAGAGGUGUCGUCGGAUGCGGUCCGGGCUCAAUUUCCUUGGAACAGGAGGUCAUGGAGGGUGAGAACCCCGUAUGUGGCUUGGGUGCCGCCUUUCCUUGUGACGUAUCCUCUAAGAGUCGGGUUGUUUGGGAAUGCAGCUCAAAAUGGGUGGUAAAUUUCAUCUAAAGCUAAAUAUUGGUGAGAGACCGAUAGCAAACAAGUAGAGUGAUCGAAAGAUGAAAAGUACUUUGAAAAGAGAGUGAAACAGUACGUGAAAUUGUUGAAAGGGAAGCGUUUGGCAUCAGCCCAUGGCGGCGGUCGAACAUCUGGGCUUCUGCCCAGUGCACUCGGCAGUCGCCGGGCCAGCGUCGGUUCCACCUGCUGGAGAAAGGCCUUGGGGAAGUGGCACUCCCUUGUGGAGCGUGUUAUAACCCAUGGCGUCAUGCGGCUUGGUGGGGCCGAGGUCC
rnacentral:rRNA from 1 species